AAGCCGUGGUGUGGACAAUCUCUCUGAUAACCUUUGAAACGUUCCCAUGAAGCCUUGAAUGCUUCAAUUGGUCCUUGAACGAACGUGGAGAUCUUAGCUCGUAGAUCCU
rfam:Arabis alpina cultivar Pajares chromosome 6, whole genome shotgun sequence.